GGCGAACGCUGGCGGCGUGCUUAACACAUGCAAGUCGAACGGAAAGGCCCUGCUUGCAGGGUACUCGAGUGGCGAACGGGUGAGUAACACGUGGGUGAUCUGCCCUGCACUUCGGGAUAAGCCUGGGAAACUGGGUCUAAUACCGGAUAGGAGCCAUUUUUAGUGUGAUGGUUGGAAAGUUUUUUCGGUGUAGGAUGAGCUCGCGGCCUAUCAGCUUGUUGGUGGGGUAAUGGCCUACCAAGGCGGCGACGGGUAGCCGGCCUGAGAGGGUGGACGGCCACAUUGGGACUGAGAUACGGCCCAGACUCCUACGGGAGGCAGCAGUGGGGAAUAUUGCACAAUGGGCGCAAGCCUGAUGCAGCGACGCCGCGUGGUGGAUGACGGCCUUCGGGUUGUAAACUCCUUUCGCUAGGGACGAAGCUUUUUGUGACGGUACCUAGAUAAGAAGCACCGGCUAACUACGUG
rnacentral:rRNA from 1 species